ensembl:lncRNA
GGGAGAUGGGUACUGUCGCAACGGACCGACAGCCGGCGCGCAGGAUAAGAAAGUCGCUCCUUCCUCGUCUGCCGCGCAGGCACGAGGCGGACAGCCUCGCGCCAAACACAUCAGCUGGAAGGACCGUCACGGUGGGGCGGAACCGCUGACACAACACCGGCUGGCGAUUGGGGAGUCAGUCGAGAGAAUUCCACCACUCAGGCGACGGGGGAAGAGUAUAAGAGGACGCUCUUCCGCCCGUGCAGGGAUGGGUACUAACUCGCAGACCACGUUCGGGUGCGGACGAAGACGCCAGCUGGUGAGCUUACACACGACGGUGGAUGAGGCACGGGAAAAUCCCACACACUGCUAGGGAAUCCCGACACGCCCUUGAGAGCGUCGCAACGCCAGCCACACCCCCCCACAAAACCUCCCACACCUCACCCACACACACCUCCUCACUUCAGACAGCACCACGUAAGAGAAAAUAAAAGAUUAAUCACUGUAUCACUGCAACCAGUUUCCUGCAUAUCUGUGCUCCGCCCCCCCGGGCUAUUUCCCUUACAGACACUUAAUGCUUUACAGUUAGAUAUGAC